AGGUUCUGGCACGUGGGUGUCGGUAGAGCGGGAACUGCUCCCGCCCCCUCCCCCCGCGGGUCAGUGCAAGCAGUGGGGUCCGGGCGGGACGGGGCUGAGGAGCAGCUGGAGCGAGCCUUUCUCAGUGGCGGCAGAUGACAGGAUGAGAAGCAACGGGCUCAAGUUGCAGCAAGGAAGGUUUAGGUUGGAUAUUAGGAAAAACGAUCUCAGAAGGAAGAUGGUGAAGCCCUGGAACAGGCUACCGCAGAGAUUCAAUUUCAUCCGAAGAUCCUGAAGUUCCCUUCCUUCCUGCACUCUAUUAGAGGGGAGAAAUUAUGUGAAAGCCUCAAAGUGUGACUGACUUCCAGAUAUGCCUCUCUGCAUUUCUGGAAGUACUUGAAUGAAUAUUUAUACCCAGUGGCUAACAAGUUAUGAGCUCAUAACAAUAAGAAGUAAAAGCUUGGAUUUUCAGAUGGUCACGGUGCAGGCUGGAAAACUUCCAGGAAAACUUCACUUAAGUCCCA